UAAGUUCUUAACGCAGGCUUUACAAACAAAGAUGUUCGGCUUCUAAUUAGAUCAAGCUAUUGCUAUCUUCUGUUGGAAAAUUCUAUCAAUUCAAGCUAUCUCCUGAAACUCAUUCUGUCUACGUGUAUGGCUUCGUUGAUUUGGCGAUUAGAUAAAAUCAUGUAAGUUAUCAUUUUUAUUCGUUCAUGUUUGGAUAAGGGGUCAACAACAUUUGAUUUUUUUUCUUGGAAGUUUUAUCAAAUGUAAUCACUUUUUAUUACUUUCCAUACGAAAAUUUGUGGCGUAUUCUUUUGAUCCUAGCUAGCUUAACACAGAAAUUACUUAAAAUCAUUUGUAACACUAACUACAAGUCUACACCAAGCUUAAAAAGGAAAAAAAAAACAUCUUAACCAUUCAACAAAACUCCUGUUUGAGGAUAUACUAAACAUCUUUUUCUUUUAAAAAAUGAAGUGGGCCCCUACAUCUUGUCCCAAAAAAGAGAUCUUUUAAUCUUUGAUUUGAAUAAUGAGAUUAAGAGCAAAAUCCUAAUUAUCCAAAAUAUUUUAAAAUACAUGAUUUUGAUUGAAAUCCUUUGUCUUCUUUCUUUCUUUAUGAUACGAUAAUUUCCAUGCCUUUCCUCUUAUGGAAUUUCGAAAUCAAAGCUCGUUUUCAACUCUGACCUGACCAAAUCUCAUGAUGAAUCUCUGAUCUCUUCAUCUAGCACGCUUCUCCUCCUCCUCCUCCUCCUCCUCCUCCUCCUCCUCCUCCUCCUCCUCCUCCUCCUCCUCCUCCUCCUCCUCCUCCUCCUCCUCCUUAUAAUUGAUGAUAUCUUUGAAAGCUAUCUCCUCACUCUCUGUUUCCUUAUUGCGCUAUCAGGUCCUUUAUUUUUUAUUUUUUUGUUUCUGUUUGAUUUUUUUUUUCGUUCUCUUUCUCAAACCUAAUUUCAAAAACUGUUCUGUAUCAGAAACUAUGGGAAAUUUGAUGGGUUGUGGAGGAAAUCGCCUAGAGGUUGAUGGUGAGGCCGUUGUGGAAGCCAACUCAUCCUCUGUGCAAGAGAGGAUCCAGUAUCACAAGGGCGUCGUGGACGGUUUGGAUGUGGAGAUCCGAAAGCAAGCGACUUUGGAGACCAAUGCGGUUGAUGAAAUAGAAAAAGGUAAAGCCACUCUGGACAAAGUUUUAUUGAACUCGAGACGCCAAGCCGCCCUCGAUUCUCUUUCCAUGUUACAGCGCUACAUGAUCGAUCUGGAAAAUGCUACUUUUAGUGAAUCAAACGAACAGAAAAUAUGGAUUCUUCUUCAAGCAAACAUGGAGAAAAGGACGUUCAUGAGAGAGGAAGAAGAAGCCAAAAUAGAAAUACUUUUCUGUUAGUAUUAAUGUUGUGACAAAUGAGUCACUAUAUACACUUGAUAGAAUCAGUUAACCGGAACAAACCGGGUGUGAUAAGUGAAACUAACUAAACCGAAUACAAUGUAAAAGCUAUAUAAACCAAUAGCUACCUACACCUCCCAUUUAAUUGAGGGAGCAAGGGAGGUGGAGGAAGCCAAACACCAUUUGCUCGUUGGGGUCGCCUCUUCCUCGGGGAGAUCGGGGAGAAGAAAGAAGAGGACGCUGACGUCUUAGAUCUUGUUAUGCUAAAAAAUAUUUGUAUUAUCUGUUCCUCUUAUCUCUCUCAAACUCUCGAAACUUUUCUCUCUCUCUCUCUCUCUAGAAACUUAUUAUUUAGAAACUUAUUAUUUAAGUUGCUGUGAUGUUUGAAUAUUUGACUAUAUAUCAAUCUCUCUGUUUGGUUA